rnacentral:lncRNA from 1 species
GGUGACGUUUGGUCUGAGCUGACCUUUCCUCACAAUCGUGAAUUUGGGCUGUGAGGAUCAGGCCUUGUCAGAACCCGAGAUGAGAGGAGAGAGAUUUCUGGUUCAGUAAGGGUGAGAGCCAGGCUCCAGACUAUAGUGAAUUUUCCGAGGAGAUAUGUGUGGGUCCUGAAUACCAUCCCAAGUGUCCUUAUAAGAGAGAGGCAAAAGAGGCAAUAGAGACACAGAAAAGAAAGCCAUGUGAAGAUGGAGCAGAGAGAUAUAUGGCCACAAGCCAAGGAAUGCUGACAGCUGCCAGAAGCUGGAAGAAGGCAAGGAAUGGACUCUCCCCUACAGCCUCCAGAGGCAAUGCAGCCCUGCCAACACUUUGAUUUUAGACUUCUGGCCUAUAGAACUGAGAAAGAAUAAAUUUCUGUUCUUUUCAGCUA